rnacentral:ncRNA from 6 species
UUCAAGUAAUCCAGGAUAGG